rnacentral:tRNA from 14 species
GGCAAGAUGGCCGAGCGGUUAAGGCGUUGCACUCAAGUUGCAAUGGGGAAACCCGCGGGAGUUCGAAUCUCCCUCUUGUCA